rnacentral:rRNA from 1 species
GAUGAACGCUGGCGGUGUGCCUAAUACAUGCAAGUCGAGCGAACAGACGAGGAGCUUGCUCCUCUGACGUUAGCGGCGGACGGGUGAGUAACACGUGGAUAACCUACCUAUAAGACUGGGAUAACUUCGGGAAACCGGAGCUAAUACCGGAUAAUAUAUUGAACCGCAUGGUUCAAUAGUGAAAGUCGGUUUUGCUGUCACUUAUAGAUGGAUCCGCGCCGCAUUAGCUAGUUGGUAAGGUAACGGCUUACCAAGGCAACGAUGCGUAGCCGACCUGAGAGGGUGAUCGGCCACACUGGAACUGAGACACGGUCCAGACUCCUACGGGAGGCAGCAGUAGGGAAUCUUCCGCAAUGGGCGAAAGCCUGACGGAGCAACGCCGCGUGAGUGAUGAAGGUCUUCGGAUCGUAAAACUCUGUUAUUAGGGAAGAACAAAUGUGUAAGUAACUAUGCACGUCUUGACGGUACCUAAUCAGAAAGCCACGGCUAACUACGUG